GUGAAUCAUCGAAUCUUUGAACGCACAUUGCGCCCGCCAGUAUUCUGGCGGGCAUGCCUGUCCGAGCGUCAUUUCAACCCUCGAACCCCUCCGGGGGGUCGGCGUUGGGGAUCGGCCCUUUACGGGGCCGGCCCCGAAAUACAGUGGCGGUCUCGCCGCAGCCUCUCCUGCGCAGUAGUUUGCACACUCGCAUCGGGAGCGCGGCGCGUCCAUUGCCGUUAAACACCCAACUUUCUGAAAUGUUGACCUCGGAUCAGGUAGGAAUACCCGCUGAACUUAAGCAUAUCAAUAAGCGGAGGA
rnacentral:misc_RNA from 1 species